AAGAUUGAGUAGCUUUUAUGAUUUUUGUAAUUAGUUAAUUAGUUUAAUUUCACAGUUUUUAGAUAAUCUGGGAUUUUAAUUUCUAAGAUUUUUAGUUAAGGAAAAAGAAAAGAAAAGGAAAAAAGAAUGGAAUUGAAAAUAAAAGAAGAGGAAUAUAAGAGUAUUAAUUCUCUGACAUUGGACCCAUUUUUUUAAUCUCCCAAAUCAGCCCCAAAUAGUACCCAAUUCGGACCAGCCCAAGGGCUCACCACCCCAGCCCAAGAAAACGGGUCAAACCCGCCAAACCGAACCGGCCAAGAUCCCUCACAUAAAACAUCGGAUCCCCCUUGAUAUUAACAUUUGGACCUUACCCUAAAAACCAGCGAGAAUAUCAUAAAAGGAGGGAGCCCUUUAGAAACCCAACAGCGGCGCUCUUGAACAAAAAACCAGAACGAGCAUCCCUUCCAUCUUCCAUCUUUUCUUUUCCGACAUCCCUCCUUCGUUUUCCAUGGGAGAAUAACACCACACGAAGACGAAGACUCACCCACUCGCGAUUUGAACGCAAACGGCUGAAACAAAGCUAAAAAUUCCAAGUGAAGAUCUGAAAAAUCACAAAGUUUGAUAAACAAAAGAAGAGCUGAAAUUUCUGAAAGAAUGUUAAAGAAAAAUUAAUUUCGAAAUUCAACCUCUGCCAUUUCUGCGGUGUUCGAGUUUGGUGUCAAAUUCGGAAGUUGAAGCUGCGUCUUGCUGUUCAUCGUUGCGCAGCUCCAACCAGUUGUUUUCUUUGCCUUUGUUUGGGCUUAUAUUUAAAUCCUCGCGCCAUUAGAUUCGGCGUGCGUGGAGGCCAAUUCGAGGGGCAAAGGCAUCGCGAGCUAGACAAUUAGCCGGUUUGAGAUUCAGGCAUCGUAGAGUCCGCUCCUAAGUGUUGAUCCUCCCAAUCCAGGCAGUGUUUUUCAGAGACUACGAGGUAGUUGUUGGCGUCCGCAGCCCCCGUGCCGCCCUUAUCUUACUAUUUUCAUGUUCUUGAACUUCUA